ensembl:ncRNA H39E23.4 ncRNA
UUAUUGAAAACUGGUGGACUGGGGCUUUAUUUUAAUUUUAAAUGUGAACUAAAAUUAACUUUUUUCGGUUAUGUGUGACAUGAUCUCCAUCAGGUGACACUUUCACCGUUCGCCGUUUCCCAGAUGAAGUUAGU